UACGAAGGGGCUAGCGUUGUUCGGAAUCACUGGGCGUAAAGCGCACGUAGGCGGAUUGCUAAGUCAGGGGUGAAAUCCUGGAGCUCAACUCCAGAACUGCCUUUGAUACUGGUGAUCUUGAGUCCGGGAGAGGUGAGUGGAACUGCGAGUGUAGAGGUGAAAUUCGAUAGAUAUUCGCAAGAACACCAGUGGCGAAGGCGGCUCACUGGCCCGGUACUGACGCUGAGGUGCGAAAGCGUGGGGAGCAAACAGGG
rnacentral:rRNA from 1 species